GGGUGUAAAGCUCAGCGGUAGAGUGCAUGCCUAGCAUGCACAAGGUCCUGGGUUCAAUCCCCAGUACUGCCA
rnacentral:tRNA from 1 species